GGGCGCAUAGCUCAGCUGGUUUAGAGCGUCAGUUUGACAUACUGAAGGUCAGAGGUUCAAGUCCUCUUGCGCCCA
rnacentral:tRNA from 1 species